rnacentral:rRNA from 1 species
GACGAACGCUGGCGGCGUGCUUAACACAUGCAAGUCGAACGAAGAGCGAUGAAGCUUGCUUCUAUCAAUCUUAGUGCGAACGGGUGAGUAACGCGUAAUCAACUGCCCUUCAGAGGGGGCAACAGUUGGAAACGACUGCUAAUACCGCAUACGAUCUAAUCUCGGCAUCGAGGAUAGAUGAAAGGUGGCCUCUACAUGUAAGCUAUCACUGAAGGAGGGGAUUGCGUCUGAUUAGCUAGUUGGAGGGGUAACGGCCCACCAAGGCGAUGAUCAGUAGCCGGUCUGAGAGGAUGAACGGCCACAUUGGGACUGAGACACGGCCCAGACUCCUACGGGAGGCAGCAGUGGGGAAUCUUCCGCAAUGGACGAAAGUCUGACGGAGCAACGCCGCGUGAGUGAUGACGGCCUUCGGGUUGUAAAGCUCUGUUAAUCGGGACGAAAGGCCUUCUUGCGAACAGUUAGAAGGAUUGACGGUACCGGAAUAGAAAGCCACGGCU